AGGUUAAGUUAGAAAGAGCGCAGGGUGGAUGCCUUGGCACUGAGAGCCGAUGAAAGACGUGAUAAGCUGCGAUAAGCUGCGGCAAGAAGCAAAUAUUCAAUGAACCGCAGAUUUCUGAAUGGGGAAACCUGGCUGAGCAAACCUCAGUCGUCCUAUACUGAAUACAUAGGUAUAGGUCGGGAACCUCCUGAACUGAAACAUCUAAGUAGGGAGAGGAAGAGAAAGAAACAUCGAUUCUGUUAGUAGCGGCGAGCGAAAGCGGAAGAGCCCAAACCGGAGUGCGUGCACUCCGGGGUAUGGACUGCAACAUGGCAGUGUUAACGAUAGCAGAAGGGUCUGGGAAGUCCCGCCAAAGAGAGUGAAAGCCUCGUAUGCGAAAUUGAAAACACGCCUAGCAGAAUCCGGAGUACCACGAGACACGAGAAACCUUGUGGGAAGGCGGAGGGACCACCCUCCAAGGCUAAAUACUACUCAGUGACCGAUAGCGCAUAGUACUGUGAAGGAAAGGUGAAAAGGACCCCGGGAGGGGAGUGAAAGAGAACCUGAAACCCUGUGUUUACAAGCUGUGGAACUACGUUAAGGUAGGACCGCGUACUUUUUGUAGAACGGUCCGGCGAGUUUCUUGUACCGGCAAGGUUAAGCACUUAAGGUGCGGAGCCGAAGUGAAAGCAAGUGUUAACAGCACGCAUAAGUCAGUACAAGAAGACCCGAAACCGGGUGAUCUACCCAUGUCCAGGUUGAAGUCGCCGUAAAAGGCGAUGGAGGACCGAACGCACAUCCGUUGAAAAGGGUGGCGAUGAGGUGUGGGUAGGGGAGAAAUUCCAAUCGAACCCGGAGAUAGCUGGUUCUCCUCGAAAUAGCUUUAGGGCUAGCCUCGUAUUAGUCUUGCGGAGGUAGAGCACUGAAUAUCCUAGGGGGCGUCAAAGCUUACCGAAGAUUAUCAAACUCCGAAUGCCGCGUAGAUGAUGUACGGGAGUCAGACUGCACGAGAUAAGUUGGGUAGUCAAAAGGGAAAGAGCCCAGACCACCAGCUAAGGUCCCAAAGUGCGUGUUAAGUGGUAAAGGAUGUGGGAUUUCGAAGACAACUAGGAUGUUGGCUCAGAAGCAGCCAUACAUUCAAAGAGUGCGUAAUAGCUCACUAGUCGAGAGGUCCUGCGCCGAAAAUGUCCGGGGCUAAAACACGACACCGAAGCUGUGGAUCCGAAAGGAUGGUAGAGGAGCAUUCUUAAGUCGACGAAGCUGUACUGUAAGGAGCAGUGGAGAGUUAAGAAGAGAGAAUGCCGGAAUGAGUAGCGAGAUUUAAGUGAGAAUCUUAAAGGCCGAAUAUCUAAGGUUUCCAGGGUAAAGCUGAUCUUCCCUGGGUAAGUCGGGGCCUAAGGCGAGGGCGAGAGCCGUAGUCGAUGGAUAACAGGUUGAAAUUCCUGUACUGCUUAUGGACAGAACUGUGGGGACGCAGAAGGAGAGCACGAGCCGGAAAUGGAAAAGCCGGUACAAGCGUAUAGCAGUCAUGCAGGCAAAACCGCAUGAAAAAUGUAAAGCGUUAUGUGGAUCGAACAUUAGUAGAGAAGCGUGUGAGCCAGCUGCCAAGAAAAGCCGCUAUUGUUUCAUAAGUACCCGUACCGUAAACCGACACAGGUGGAUGAGGAGAGAAUCCUAAGGCCGGCGGGAGAAGUGUUGUUAAGGAACUCGGCAAAAUGACUCCGUAACUUCGGGAGAAGGAGUGCCACAGAGAUGUGGCCGCAGAGAAAUGGCCCAAGCAACUGUUUAGCAAAAACACAGGUCUAUGCAAAACCGAAAGGUGAGGUAUAUGGGCUGACGCCUGCCCGGUGCUGGAAGGUUAAGAGGAGAGGUUAGAGCAAUCGAAGCUUUGAAUUUAAGCCCCAGUAAACGGCGGCCGUAACUAUAACGGUCCUAAGGUAGCGAAAUUCCUUGUCGGGUAAGUUCCGACCCGCACGAAAGGCGUAAUGAUUUGGGCACUGUCUCAACAACACACCCGGUGAAAUUGAAAUACCAGUGAAGAUGCUGGUUACCUGCGCCAGGACGGAAAGACCCCAUGGAGCUUUACUCCAGUUUGAUACUGGGAUUCGGUACUGUCUGUACAGGAUAGGUGGGAGGCUAGGAAAUGGUGACGCCAGUUGCCAUGGAGCCAACCUUGGGAUACCACCCUUACAGUACUGGGUUUCUAACCUGCAGCCGUAACCCGGCUGGGGGACAAUGUCUGACGGGGAGUUUGACUGGGGCGGUCGCCUCCGAAAGAGUAUCGGAGGCGCUCAAAGGUUCCCUCAGAACGGUUGGAAACCGUUCGAAGAGUGCAAAGGCAGAAGGGAGCUUGACUGCGACACCGACGGGUGGAGCAGAUACGAAAGUAGGACUUAGUGAUCCGGUGGUAUAAAGUGGGAUUGCCAUCGCUCAACGGAUAAAAGCUACCCUGGGGAUAACAGGCUUAUCACUCCCAAGAGUUCACAUCGACGGAGUGGUUUGGCACCUCGAUGUCGGCUCAUCGCAUCCUGGAGCUGUAGCAGGUUCCAAGGGUUGGGCUGUUCGCCCAUUAAAGCGGUACGCGAGCUGGGUUCAGAACGUCGUGAGACAGUUCGGUCCCUAUCCGGCGUGGGCGUAGGAUAUUUGAGAGGAGCUGUCCUUAGUACGAGAGGACCGGGAUGGACAAACCUCUGGUGUAUCUGUUGUUUUACCAAAGGCAUGGCAGAGUAGCCAAGUUUGGCAGGGAUAAACGCUGAAGGCAUCUAAGCGUGAAGCCCCCCUCAAGAUAAGAUAUCCCAUCUUCGGAGUAAGACCCCUUGAAGACUACAAGGUUGAUAGGCUUUGUGUGUAAGUGCGGUAACGCACUCAGCUGAGAAGUACUAAUAGGUCGAGGACUUAUCCUUAG
rnacentral:rRNA from 1 species